GACGAACGCUGGCGGCGUGCUUAACACAUGCAAGUCGAACGGAAAGGCCUGCUUUCCCUUGUGGAUUGCGGGUACUCGCGUGGCGAACGGGUGAGUAACACGUGAGUGAUCUGCCCCCAACUUGGGUAUAAGCCUGGGAAACUGGGUCUAAUUCCCGAUAGGACUGCAGGGUGGUGCCUGUGGUGGAAAACGAUUUUCUAGUGGUUGGGGAUGAGCUCGCGGCCUAUCAGCUUGUUGGUGGGGUAAUGGCCUACCAAGGCGGCGACGGGUAGCCGGCCUGAGAGGGUGGACGGCCACAUUGGGACUGAGAUACGGCCCAGACUCCUACGGGAGGCAGCAGUGGGGAAUAUGACACAAUGGGCGGAAGCCUGAUGCAGCGACGCCGCGUGGGGGAUGACGGCCUUCGGGUUGUAAACUCCUUUCGACCGCGAGGAAGCCACCUGGUUGGAAGGGUGGUGACGGUAGUGGUAGAAGAAGCACCGGCUAACUACGUG
rnacentral:rRNA from 1 species